rnacentral:rRNA from 1 species
GAUGAACGCUGACAGAAUGCUUAACACAUGCAAGUCAACUUGAACUUCGGUUUGGGUGGCGGACGGGUGAGUAACGCGUAAAGAACUUGCCUCACAGUUAGGGACAACAUUUGGAAACGAAUGCUAAUACCUGAUAUUAUGAUUUUAGGGCAUCCUAGAAUUAUGAAAGCUAUAUGCGCUGUGAGAGAGCUUUGCGUCCCAUUAGCUAGUUGGAGAGGUAACGGCUCACCAAGGCGAUGAUGGGUAGCCGGCCUGAGAGGGUGAACGGCCACAAGGGGACUGAGACACGGCCCUUACUCCUACGGGAGGCAGCAGUGGGGAAUAUUGGACAAUGGACCAAGAGUCUGAUCCAGCAAUUCUGUGUGCACGAUGAAGAUUUUCGGAAUGUAAAGUGCUUUCAGUUGGGAAGAAAAAAAUGACGAUACCAACAGAAGAAGUGACGGCUAAAUACGUG